AUUGAACGCUGGCGGCAUGCUUUACACAUGCAAGUCGAACGGCAGCGCGGGCUUCGGCCUGGCGGCGAGUGGCGAACGGGUGAGUAAUGCAUCGGAACGUGCUCAGUAGUGGGGGAGAGCCCGGCGAAAGCCGGAUUAAUACCGCAUACGACCUGAGGGUGAAAGCGGGGGAGCGAAAGGCCUCGCGCUAUUGGAGCGGCCGAUGUCGGAUUAGCUAGUUGGUGGGGUAAAGGCUUACCAAGGCGACGAUCCGUAGCUGGUCUGAGAGGACGAGCAGCCACACUGGAACUGAGACACGGCCCAGACUCCUACGGGAGGCAGCAGUGGGGAAUGUUGGACAGAGGGGGCAACCCUGAUCCAGCCAUGCCGCGUGCGGGAAGAAGGCCUUCGGGUUGUAAACCGCUUUUGUUCGGGAAGAAAUCCUCUGGGCUAAUACCCCGGGGGGAUGACGGUACCGGAAGAAUAAGCACCGGCUAACUACGUG
rnacentral:rRNA from 1 species